rnacentral:rRNA from 1 species
GGUAAAAAAAAGGUAAGCUACUAAGAGCGAAUGGUGGAUGCCUUGACUGGUAAAGGCGAUGAAGGACGUACUAGACUGCGAUAAGCUACGGGGAGCUGUCAAGAAGCUUUGAUCCGUAGAUUUCCGAAUGGGGCAACCCAAUGUAUAGAGAUAUACAUUACCUAUAUAGGAGCGAACGAGGGGAAUUGAAACAUCUUAGUACCCUCAGGAAAAGAAAUCAAUAGAGAUUGCGUCAGUAGCGGCGAGCGAAAGCGCAAGAGGGCAAACCCAGUGCUUGCACUGGGGGUUGUAGGACUGCAAUGUGCAAGAGCUGAGUUUAGCAGAACAUUCUGGAAAGUAUAGCCAUAGAGGGUGAUAGUCCCGUAUGCGAAAAACAAAGCUUAGCUAGCAGUAUCCUGAGUAGGGCGGGACACGAGAAAUCCUGUCUGAAUCCGGGUCGACCACGAUCCAACCCUAAAUACUAAUACCAGAUCGAUAGUGCACAAGUACCGUGAGGGAAAGGUGAAAAGAACUGAGGUGAUCAGAGUGAAAUAGAACCUGAAACCAUUUGCUUACAAUCAUUCAGAGCACUAUGUAGCAAUACAGUGUGAUGGACUGCCUUUUGCAUAAUGAGCCUGCGAGUUGUGGUGUCUGGCAAGGUUAAGCAAACGCGAAGCCGUAGCGAAAGCGAGUCUGAAUAGGGCGCUUAGUCAGAUGCUGCAGACCCGAAACGAAGUGAUCUAUCCAUGAGCAAGUUGAAGCUAGUGUAAGAACUAGUGGAGGACUGAACCCAUAGGCGUUGAAAAGCCCCGGGAUGACUUGUGGAUAGGGGUGAAAGGCCAAUCAAACUUCGUGAUAGCUGGUUCUCUCCGAAAUAUAUUUAGGUAUAGCGUUGUGUCGUAAUAUAAGGGGGUAGAGCACUGAAUGGGCUAGGGCAUACACCAAUGUACCAAACCCUAUCAAACUCCGAAUACCUUAUAUGUAAUCACAGCAGUCAGGCGGCGAGUGAUAAAAUCCGUCGUCAAGAGGGAAACAACCCAGACUACCAGCUAAGGUCCCUAAAUCUUACUUAAGUGGAAAACGAUGUGAAGUUACUUAAACAACCAGGAGGUUGGCUUAGAAGCAGCCAUCCUUUAAAGAAAGCGUAAUAGCUCACUGGUCUAGUGAUUUUGCGCGGAAAAUAUAACGGGGCUAAAGUAAGUACCGAAGCUGUAGACUUGCACACAACUUAGAUUAUUUAAGUUUAGAAUAUGAGAAACUAAGUUAUAUGUUUAGUUAUAUUUUUACUGAUUUUUAUAGAGUAAAGAUAGAAAUAAAACUUAGUAAAAUCAGUAAAAAUAUUCUUAGGCUAAAGUUAAGUAGUUUAAGUUGUGUGCAAGUGGUAGGAGAGCGUUCUAUUUGCGUCGAAGGUAUACCGGUAAGGAGUGCUGGAGCGAAUAGAAGUGAGCAUGCAGGCAUGAGUAGCGAUAAUUAAUGUGAGAAUCAUUAACGCCGUAAACCCAAGGUUUCCUACGCGAUGCUCGUCAUCGUAGGGUUAGUCGGGUCCUAAGUCGAGUCCGAAAGGGGUAGACGAUGGCAAAUUGGUUAAUAUUCCAAUACCAACAUUAGUGUGCGAUGGAAGGACGCUUAGGGCUAAGGGGGCUAGCGGAUGGAAGUGCUAGUCUAAGGUUGUAGGAGGUUAUACAGGCAAAUCCGUAUAACAAUACUCCGAGAACUGAAAGGCUUUUUGAAGUCUUCGGAUGGAUAGAAGAACCCCUGAUGCCGUCGAGCCAAGAAAAGUUUCUAAGUUUAGCUAAUGUUGCCCGUACCGUAAACCGACACAGGUGGGUGGGAUGAGUAUUCUAAGGCGCGUGGAAGAACUCUCUUUAAGGAACUCUGCAAAAUAGCACCGUAUCUUCGGUAUAAGGUGUGGUUAGCUUCGUACUAGGAUUUACUCCGAAAGCGAAGAAACUUACAACAAAGAGUCCCUCCCGACUGUUUACCAAAAACACAGCACUCUGCUAACUCGUAAGAGGAUGUAUAGGGUGUGACGCCUGCCCGGUGCUCGAAGGUUAAUUGAUGGGGUUAGCAUUAGCGAAGCUCUUGAUCGAAGCCCGAGUAAACGGCGGCCGUAACUAUAACGGUCCUAAGGUAGCGAAAUUCCUUGUCGGUUAAAUACCGACCUGCAUGAAUGGCGUAACGAGAUGGGAGCUGUCUCAAAGAGGGAUCCAGUGAAAUUGUAGUGGAGGUGAAAAUUCCUCCUACCCGCGGCAAGACGGAAAGACCCCGUGGACCUUUACUACAGCUUGACACUGCUACUUGGAUAAGAAUGUGCAGGAUAGGUGGGAGGCUUUGAGUAUAUGACGCCAGUUGUAUAUGAGCCAUUGUUGAGAUACCACUCUUUCUUAUUUGGGUAGCUAACCAGCUUGAGUUAUCCUCAAGUGGGACAAUGUCUGGUGGGUAGUUUGACUGGGGCGGUCGCCUCCCAAAUAAUAACGGAGGCUUACAAAGGUUGGCUCAGAACGGUUGGAAAUCGUUCGUAGAGUAUAAAGGUAUAAGCCAGCUUAACUGCAAGACAUACAAGUCAAGCAGAGACGAAAGUCGGUCUUAGUGAUCCGGUGGUUCUGUGUGGAAGGGCCAUCGCUCAAAGGAUAAAAGGUACCCCGGGGAUAACAGGCUGAUCUCCCCCAAGAGCUCACAUCGACGGGGAGGUUUGGCACCUCGAUGUCGGCUCAUCGCAUCCUGGGGCUGGAGCAGGUCCCAAGGGUAUGGCUGUUCGCCAUUUAAAGCGGUACGCGAGCUGGGUUCAGAACGUCGUGAGACAGUUCGGUCCCUAUCUGCCGUGGGCGUAAGAAGAUUGAAGAGAUUUGACCCUAGUACGAGAGGACCGGGUUGAACAAACCACUGGUGUAGCUGUUGUUCUGCCAAGAGCAUCGCAGCGUAGCUAAGUUUGGAAAGGAUAAACGCUGAAAGCAUCUAAGCGUGAAGCCAACUCUAAGAUGAAUCUUCUCUAAGCUCUCUAGAAGACUACUAGUUUGAUAGGCUGGGUGUGUAAUGGAUGAAAGUCUUUUAGCUGACCAGUACUAAUAGAGCGUUUGGCUUAUCUUUAAUAAAGCAU